rnacentral:rRNA from 1 species
CGUAGGGGGCGAGCGUUGUCCGGAAUUAUUGGGCGUAAAGAGCGUGUAGGCUGUUCGGUAAGUCUGCCGUGAAAACCUGAGGCUCAACCUCGGGCGUGCGGUGGAUACUGCCGGGCUAGAGGACGGUAGAGGCGAGUGGAAUUCCCGGUGUAGCGGUGAAAUGCGCAGAUAUCGGGAGGAACACCAGUAGCGAAGGCGGCUCGCUGGGCCGUUCCUGACGCUGAGACGCGAAAGCUAGGGGAGCGAACAGGAUUAGAUACCCUUGUAGUCCUAGCCGUAAACGAUGGACACUAGGUGUGGGGGGAGUCGAAUCCCUCUGUGCCGCAGUUAACGCGUUAAGUGUCCCGCCUGGGGAGUACGGCCGCAAGGCUA